UAACAUUCAAAGACCACCAACUCCUACCAGAGGUCGUCCACAGCCUGAACUUGAUAGGAAUUCACUCGCAUAUAUAUGACCUCAGUUAAUUUACUUGCAUCUGUCAAUGUUUUAAUGUGGAAAUCCCUAGCCCUUAGAUUGCACCAUUGUUCAGUUGGAUGACAAUCAGAAGAAUCCGCAAUCUGUCACAUUGCAUAGAACCCCAUUGUUGUACUUUACAGGUCAAGUACAAGAGAAUCUUGUUUUCUUUAAACGUAGGUUGAGAUUGUUAGAAAAUGUUAGCUGUUAGAGGUGUGUGGUGAGCAUUCUUUGUUGUAUCGCUUAUUGAGUACUUGUAAAAUCAGGCCAGUGGUUGUGAUGGGU
rnacentral:lncRNA from 1 species